rnacentral:rRNA from 1 species
UACAGAGGGUGCGAGCGUUGUCCGGAAUCACUGGGCGUAAAGGGCGCGUAGGUGGUGGCUUAAGCGUGCGGUGAAAGCUCGGAGCUCAACUCCGAGUCGGCCGUGCGAACUGGGCUCACUGGAGCAUAGUAGAGGCAGGUGGAAUUCCGGGUGUAGCGGUGGAAUGCGUAGAGAUCCGGAAGAACACCGGUGGCGAAGGCGGCCUGCUGGGCUAUGGCUGACACUGAGGCGCGCAGCGUGGGGAGCAAACAGG